CUCAGGUGUUGUUGGGUAGGGGAGCGUUCUGUAAGCCUGCGAAGGUGGCCUGUGAGGGUUGCUGGAGGUAUCAGAAGUGCGAAUGCUGACAUAAGUAACGAUAAAGCGGGUGAAAAGCCCGCUCGCCGGAAGACCAAGGGUUCCUGUCCAACGUUAAUCGGGGCAGGGUGAGUCGACCCCUAAGGCGAGGCCGAAAGGCGUAGUCGAUGGGAAACGGGUUAAUAUUCCCGUACUUGGUGUUACUGCGAAGGGGGGACGGAGAAGGCUAUGUUGGCCGGGCGACGGUUGUCCCGGUUUAAGCGUGUAGGUGUGUGUUCCAGGUAAAUCCGGUUCACUUUAACACUGAGGCGUGAUGACGAGGCACUACGGUGCUGAAGCAACAAAUGCCCUGCUUCCAGGAAAAGCCUCUAAGCAUCAGGUAACAUCAAAUCGUACCCCAAACCGACACAGGUGGUCAGGUAGAGAAUACCAAGGCGCUUGAGAGAACUCGGGUGAAGGAACUAGGCAAAAUGGUGCCGUAACUUCGGGAGAAGGCACGCUGACACGUAGGUGAAGUGAUUUACUCAUGGAGCUGAAGUCAGUCGAAGAUACCAGCUGGCUGCAACUGUUUAUUAAAAACACAGCACUGUGCAAACACGAAAGUGGACGUAUACGGUGUGACGCCUGCCCGGUGCCGGAAGGUUAAUUGAUGGGGUCAGCGCAAGCGAAGCUCCUGAUCGAAGCCCCGGUAAACGGCGGCCGUAACUAUAACGGUCCUAAGGUAGCGAAAUUCCUUGUCGGGUAAGUUCCGACCUGCACGAAUGGCGUAAUGAUGGCCAGGCUGUCUCCACCCGAGACUCAGUGAAAUUGAACUCGCUGUGAAGAUGCAGUGUACCCGCGGCAAGACGGAAAGACCCCGUGAACCUUUACUAUAGCUUGACACUGAACAUUGAGCCUUGAUGUGUAGGAUAGGUGGGAGGCUUUGAAGUGUGGACGCCAGUCUGCAUGGAGCCGGCCUUGAAAUACCACCCUUUAAUGUUUGAUGUUCUAACGUGGACCCGUGAUCCGGGUUGCGGACAGUGUCUGGUGGGUAGUUUGACUGGGGCGGUCUCCUCCUAAAGAGUAACGGAGGAGCACGAAGGUUGGCUAAUCCUGGUCGGACAUCAGGAGGUUAGUGCAAUGGCAUAAGCCAGCUUGACUGCGAGCGUGACGGCGCGAGCAGGUGCGAAAGCAGGUCAUAGUGAUCCGGUGGUUCUGAAUGGAAGGGCCAUCGCUCAACGGAUAAAAGGUACUCCGGGGAUAACAGGCUGAUACCGCCCAAGAGUUCAUAUCGACGGCGGUGUUUGGCACCUCGAUGUCGGCUCAUCACAUCCUGGGGCUGAAGUAGGUCCCAAGGGUAUGGCUGUUCGCCAUUUAAAGUGGUACGCGAGCUGGGUUUAGAACGUCGUGAGACAGUUCGGUCCCUAUCUGCCGUGGGCGCUGGAGAACUGAGGGGGGCUGCUCCUAGUACGAGAGGACCGGAGUGGACGCAUCACUGGUGUUCGGGUUGUCAUGCCAAUGGCACUGCCCGGUAGCUAAAUGCGGAAGAGAUAAGUGCUGAAAGCAUCUAAGCACGAAACUUGCCCCGAGAUGAGUUCUCCCUGAGACUUUAGGUCUCCUGAAGGAACGUUGAAGACGACGACGUUGAUAGGCCGGGUGUGUAAGCGCAGCGAUGCGUUGAGCUAACCGGUACUAAUGAACCGUGAGGCUUAACCUU
rnacentral:rRNA from 1 species